CGCACCUUGCGCUCCUUGGUAUUCCGAGGAGCAUGCCUGUUUGAGUGUCGUGUAAUUCUCAACUCAUAAUGUUCUUGCGAGCGUUAUGCAGUUGGAUUUGGAGGCUUUGCUGGCUUUAAUUAGUCGGCUCCUCUUAAAUGCAUUAGCUUGAUUCCGUGCGGAUCGGCUCUCAGUGUGAUAAUUGUCUACGCUGUGACCGUGAAGCGUUUGGCGAGCUUCUAAUCGUCUCAUUAGAGACAACACUUUCACAUCUGACCUCAAAUCAGGUAGGAUUACCCGCUGAACUUAA
rnacentral:misc_RNA from 1 species